rnacentral:rRNA from 1 species
CCUACGGGAGGCAGCAGUAGGGAAUAUUGCUCAAUGGGGGAAACCCUGAAGCAGCAACGCCGCGUGGAGGAUGAAGGUCCUCCGAUUGUAAACUCCUUUUUGUAGAGAAGAUAAUGACUCUAUCUAACGAAUAAGCACCAGCUAACUUCGUGCCAGUAUCCGCGGUAAUACGGAGGGUGCAAGCGGUACUCGGAAUCACUGGGCGUAUAUCGCGCGUUGGUGGGAUAGCAAGGUAGAUGGGAAAUACUACGGCUUAACCCUAGAAGUGCAGUUGACACCGGUGUUCUAGAGUUGGGGAGAGGUAGGCGGAAUUCGUGGUGUAGGGGUGAAAUGCGGAGAGAUCAAGCGGAAUACGGAUUGCGAAGGCGACAUGCUAGAGCAUAACUGACGCUGAUGCGCGAAAGCGUGGGGAGCGAACAGGAUUAGAUACCCGUGUAGUC